CGAGCGGCGGACGGGUGAGUAAUGCAUAGGAAUCUGCCCGAUAGUGGGGGAUAACCUGGGGAAACCCAGGCUAAUACCGCAUACGUCCUACGGGAGAAAGGGGGCUUCGGCUCCCGCUAUUGGAUGAGCCUAUGUCGGAUUAGCUAGUUGGUAAGGUAAUGGCUUACCAAGGCAACGAUCCGUAGCUGGUCUGAGAGGAUGAUCAGCCACAUCGGGACUGAGACACGGCCCGAACUCCUACGGGAGGCAGCAGUGGGGAAUAUUGGACAAUGGGGGCAACCCUGAUCCAGCCAUGCCGCGUGUGUGAAGAAGGCCCUCGGGUUGUAAAGCACUUUCAGCGAGGAAGAACGCCUAUCGGUUAAUACCCGGUAGGAAAGACAUCACUCGCAGAAGAAGCACCGGCUAACUCCGUGCCAGCAGCCGCGGUAAUACGGAGGGUGCAAGCGUUAAUCGGAAUUACUGGGCGUAAAGCGCGCGUAGGUGGCUUGAUAAGCCGGUUGUGAAAGCCCCGGGCUCAACCUGGGAACGGCAUCCGGAACUGUCAGGCUAGAGUGCAGGAGAGGAAGGUAGAAUUCCCGGUGUAGCGGUGAAAUGCGUAGAGAUCGGGAGGAAUACCAGUGGCGAAGGCGGCCUUCUGGACUGACACUGACACUGAGGUGCGAAAGCGUGGGUAGCAAACAGGAUUAGAUA
rnacentral:rRNA from 1 species